rnacentral:rRNA from 1 species
UCGAACGAUGAAGCCCUUCGGGGUGGAUUAGUGGCGAACGGGUGAGUAACACGUGGGCAAUCUGCCCUUCACUCUGGGACAAGCCCUGGAAACGGGGUCUAAUACCGGAUACCACUCCUGCCCGCAUGGGUAGGGGUUGAAAGCUCCGGCGGUGAAGGAUGAGCCCGCGGCCUAUCAGCUUGUUGGUGGGGUAAUGGCCCACCAAGGCGACGACGGGUAGCCGGCCUGAGAGGGCGACCGGCCACACUGGGACUGAGACACGGCCCAGACUCCUACGGGAGGCAGCAGUGGGGAAUAUUGCACAAUGGGCGAAAGCCUGAUGCAGCGACGCCGCGUGAGGGAUGACGGCCUUCGGGUUGUAAACCUCUUUCAGCAGGGAAGAAGCGAAAGUGACGGUACCUGCAGAAGAAGCGCCGGCUAACUACGUGCCAGCAGCCGCGGUAAUACGUAGGGCGCAAGCGUUGUCCGGAAUUAUUGGGCGUAAAGAGCUCGUAGGCGGCUUGUCACGUCGGAUGUGAAAGCCCGAGGCUUAACCUCGGGUCUGCAUUCGAUACGGGCUAGCUAGAGUGUGGUAGGGGAGAUCGGAAUUCCUGGUGUAGCG